GUCUGUUGGAUGCAUCUUUGCAGAAAUUCUUGGCCGGAAGCCUCUAUUUCCAGGAACUGAGUGCCUCAAUCAGCUUAAACUUAUUCUCAAUAUCCUUGGUAGCCAGCCUGAAGCUGAUCUUCAUUUCAUUGAUAACCCAAGGGCUAAAGGAUUCAUCCGAUCUCUUCCUUUUACACGAGGAGCUCACUUUUCUUCUCUUUUCCCUCAUGCUGAUCCUUUAGCAAUAGACUUACUGCAGCGAAUGCUCAUUUUUGAUCCCUCGAAGAGAAUAACAGUUACAGAAGCUCUCUAUCACCCUUACCUAUCAAGUCUUUAUGAUCCAACAUGCAAUCUUCCCGCUCAAUUUCCUCUUAAUCUGGAUAUUGACGAGAAUAUGGCAGAACCAUUGAUUCGGGAGAUGAUGCUGAGAGAAAUCUUUCAUUACCAUCCUGAAGCAGCUUAUAUCAACACAUUUUACUAGUUUCCGUCUAUGUAGUAGUACUGUAUUACUUCCGAUUGGGACACAAGAAGAAGACCUAAGUAAGUGGGAUUUUUUGUUCUGUACUAUGAUAAAAAAAUACACAGUUAAGAUGUUAUCAUCACUUGGAGACAUUUGGAGCAGGGAGG
rnacentral:misc_RNA from 1 species